rnacentral:rRNA from 1 species
GGAGGAAGGUGGGGAUGACGUCAAGUCCUCAUGGCCCUUACGGGCUGGGCUACACACGUGCUACAAUGGCGGUGACAGUGGGCAGCGACCUCGCGAGGGGAAGCUAAUCUCCAAAAGCCGUCUCAGUUCGGAUUGUUCUCUGCAACUCGAGAGCAUGAAGUUGGAAUCGCUAGUAAUCGCGUAACAGCAUGACGCGGUGAAUACGUUCCCGGGCCUUGUACACACCGCCCGU